AGGGUAUACGAUAGCUGCGCUCCCCUGCUAGAACAUCCAAACAAGCUCAAGGUCCAUUUGUAGGAGAAUGUAGGGUAGUCAAGCUGGAUAAAUUUGCUGGAGUUCUGUGGCAUUGGUGAUACUGAUUUUACUU